AUUCAUAUGGUGCAACUGGUUAGCACGUUCAACUGUUAACUGAAAGGUCGGUGGCUUGAGCUCACCCAGGGAUC
rnacentral:tRNA from 1 species